GGCUUGCUGGUCAUGGUAUGAUUCUCGCUUUGGGUGGGAGAGGUUACGGGUUCGAUUCCCGUGCCGAGCCC